CGAAACGUAUUUUUGGACAUGCCACAAAUAUUUCAAGUUAAGACAACUAGACAAGUCAUAAUAAUGACGAAUAACUAGUUUUGUUAUAUGUCAUACAACAAAAGUUUCUGUAGUAAAGGAGUUUCAUUUGCAUAAGUUUGCAAAUCAAAAUGGUCUCACAUCUAAAGACAUGAACAUUGCGGUAGCUAGUUCAUGUCUAUACAGCGGCAACGUUGCGGUCCUCCUCAGCGUGUGCCCCCAACCUUGGCUCCGCGUGCUCCUCUACAGCACCUUGCCACCGGCUGCACGGCGCUGCUGCCUUCAUUGUGCUGUUACAUGGAAGGACACAUAUUUUUGUUAUGUUAAAAAGAAACAAUUCUGAUCAAAGAAAAUUAUCUGGUCUGAUAUACUACUAGGAUCAGUAGUCUAUCCUCAACAGUGCCCCUUAACUAUUCAGCAGGAAUUCAGCAUGUAAUAACAGCAACAAUGCUGCCUCAUGUAAUAUCUGAACUUUGAAGCUGCACACAUAUCUGAAUCUUUUUGCACUCACAUUAACAGUAUGUACAGUACACCAUAGGAAAGAAGACAGACGAGCCCACAUUGCGCUUUGGGCGACGGGCUUGGUCGUCGGGAUGCUCCUCCUUGCUCACCAGCGCUGCUCCUCGCUGAGCUCCUCCUUCCCCCACCGGCGCUGCUCCUUGCUGGCAUCAAUGGUGUGGGGGUGAGCUCCUCCUUCCCCCACGGCGCCGUUCCUCGCUGACGGCGGUACUCGUGGCUGUGAGGACGGGAAUCGGUGAGGAACUAGUUGGGACGGCCGGAUCUGGAGUCGAUGGAGAGAAUCCG
rnacentral:lncRNA from 1 species